UACGUAGGGGGCAAGCGUUGUCCGGAAUUAUUGGGCGUAAAGAGCUCGUAGGCGGUCUGUCGCGUCGGAUGUGAAAACCCAGGGCUCAACCCUGGGCCUGCAUUCGAUACGGGCAGACUAGAGUUCGGUAGGGGAGACUGGAAUCCUGGUGUAGCGGUGAAAUGCGCAGAUAUCAGGAGGAACACCGGUGGCGAAGGCGGGUCUCUGGGCCGAAACUGACGCUGAGGCACGAAAGCGUGGGGAGCAAACAGG
rnacentral:rRNA from 1 species